CACGUAGGGCGCAAGCGUUGUCCGGAAUUAUUGGGCGUAAAGAGCUCGUAGGCGGUCUGUUGCGUCCGCUGUGAAAACCCGGGGCUUAACCCCGAGCCUGCAGUGGAUACGGGCAGACUAGAGGUAGGUAGGGGAGAAUGGAAUUCCUGGUGUAGCGGUGAAAUGCGCAGAUAUCAGGAGGAACACCGGUGGCGAAGGCGGGUCUCUGGGCCGAUACUGACGCUGAGGAGCGAAAGCGUGGGGAGCGAACAGG
rnacentral:rRNA from 1 species